GUGACCCACCAGAGCCCGGGUCCCGGGCCUAGUCGCGGGAUGGUGGGGCCUUGGCGCGGGCCGCGGAGCCUCCGGGCGCGCGAAGCGUGACGCAGGAGCAGCGAGCGAAAGGCGCGCGAGAGACGCGUUUCAGGAGCUUUCCCAGUGGGCUCUCGGAAACGUACCCCACACGGCCCUUACCCGGCAGACAAAGACUGGUAGCCCAGGGCAGUGGUAGCGCUCUUCCCAAAUACCUCUGCUGCUAGUAGUUAAAGCAAUGACCUGACUCCUUCAGCAACCCAGCGCUCAGCUCCCGCAGGCGCCAGACCCUGGGCUUGGCACAGUGGAGGUUUCUCCAGUUUAUAGAUCUUAAGUAGCAUGGAUCUGCCGGUGGAUGAGUGGAAAUCAUACAUACUUCAGAAGUGGUCUUUGCUCCCCAAGUCCAUUCAGGUCACAAUUUCUACAGCAGAGGCACUGAGCGAUAUCUUUCUCCACUCAUCUUCGCUUCUUCAGCCUGAGGAUGAGAUGUUUUUAAAAAGGCUUUCUGGAGGUUACCUUGUAGGAAAGGACCCAGAUGCUCCCCUUUUCUACAGAGAAGAAGGAAACAAAAAAUUCCAUGAGAAGGAUUAUAUGGGAGCCACACUACUCUACUCCAAGGGAGUAGCCCAUUCAAGGCCCAGCACUGAGGACAUUUCGCUGUGUUACGCCAACCGCUCUGCAGCCCUCUUCCACCUGGGUCAGUAUGAAACAUGCCUUAAAGACAUCGUCAGAGCGCAGUCGCAUGGAUAUCCAGAAAAUCUUCAACCCAAGUUGCUGCUGCGUAAGGCAGAGUGUCUGGUGACCCUGGGGAGACUACAGGAGGCGAGCCAGACCAUCAGUGACCUUGAGAGUAACUUUGCUGCCACACCAGCCCUAGCAGCUUCCCAAUUUCAGAUUCUGCAGAGAACCCUCUGUCGUCUGAAAAGGAAGGUACAAGAAAAGGAGACUCUCGGGGAAACCUUCCCAGCCCUUCUCACCAAGGCCUUGGAGGAUAUGGAGCUGAGGGAAGAGAACGCGCACGUGCGCGGUGCCUCAUCGUCCGUCAGCUUACGCGUGGACCCUUUAAAAGGCCGCUCUCUGGUCGCCACAAAAGAUAUCCUCCCAGGCGAGCUUCUGGUGAAAGAGGAUGCUUUUGUGAGUGUCCUUAACCCAGGAGAAAUGCCACCACGACACGAAGGCCUGGAGAGCAAGUGGGACACCAGAGUUACCAACGGGGACCUUUACUGUCACCGGUGUUUGAAGCCCACAUUGGCCACAGUUCCCUGUGAUGGGUGCAGCUAUGCCAAGUAUUGCAGCCAAGAGUGUCUGCAGCAGGCCUGGGACCUCUACCACAGUGUGGAGUGUUCUCUAGGGGGGCUGCUUCUCACCCUGGGUGUCUUUUGCCACGUUGCCCUGAGGUCUACGCUUUUAGCUAGAUUCGAGGAUGUUGGCAAAGUCAGAAUGACGCUUUGUGGUGAGACGUGUAACAGAGACGUCUCUUCACCUGAAGGCAAGAAUCUGGCACAAGCACUCAGUUAUGACCUGGGAGGAGAGAGAGAGCAAAGGGGCAAAACAGUUGAGACCUCAGUUCCUGGAUGUGGUAUCGAUGGAAAGUAUGAAAAUAAUUAUAACGCUGUCUUCCACCUUUUACCCCAUACUGAAAACCAUAGUCCAGAGCACAAAUUCCUCUGUGCACUAAGUGUUUCUGCACUGGGCAGGCAGCUCCAAGCAGCCGGUUCACAGGCCUUCACAGCAGGUCUGAAGUCAUCGAAGCUGAAAGCAGCCGAGGCCCCUGUGUUGUGUCCCGAGUGGAAUAUUUGGGGAGUGGCCAUGCUGAGACACAUGUUACAGCUGCAGUGUAAUGCUCAGGCAAUCACGGCCAUUCAGCAGACAGGAUCUAAAGGGAGCCUCAUUACUGAGCACAGGCAGGUACGCCUUGCCACCGGCCUCUUCCCCGUCGUCAGCCUCCUGAACCAUUCCUGCAGCCCCAACGCCAGCGUGUCCUUCAUCAGCACCAUCGCCACCGUGCGGGCAUCACAGCCCAUUCGGAAGGGGCAAGAGGUUCUCCACUGCUAUGGGCCUCACGAGAGUAGGAUGGGUGUUGCUGAGAGGCACCAGAAGCUGAGGUCUCAGUAUUUCUUUGACUGCAACUGCCCGCCUUGUGAACGAGAGAAGCAGAGACCCUCGGCGUUGGGACCGAGGAGGGAAGCCUUCUGCUGUCACCGUUGCAGAGCUCUCCUGCAGGGAGAUGAUGUUCUGAGCUGUGGCAGCACAUCUUGUCCGGCAUCGGUCCAUAGGCAUCACCUAGACUCUCGGCUGCAAGACCUUCAGCAGCAGGUGGGGCUGGCCCGGAAGCUUCUCCAAAACUGUAAACCAGAACGAGCCAUUCAGCUGUUGUUGGGGUGCCAACACGAUGCUGAGAGCUUCCUGUCAGCAGAACACAGUGUGGUGGGAGAAAUCGCGGAUGACCUGGCCCAGGCCUAUGCUGCCUUAGGGGACUGGAAGAAGUCAGCGAGCCAUCUACAGAAGAGUCUCCGGGUAGUUGAGGUUCGCCACGGGCCAUCCAGUGUUGAGAUGGGCCAUGAGCUCUUCAAACUGGCCCAAAUCUUCUUCAAUGGGUGAUUUCCGACAGUUCCGUGACUUUAAAUGCAUCUGUGUGCUCCCAAAUGUACGCUUCCAGUCUUGACCAAGACAGCAAAUGUGACACGGUCGCAAGGACGCCCCAACAGGAACUCCACAUUGGCCCUUGUGAAGCUAACCAGAGCUGCCCUCUCAGCCACAGCCGACUGGCCCGGGGACCAGCACUCAAGCCGAGGGGACCGUGUUCAGGCUAAAAGCAAGGGAAGCUAUACCGAGAUCGCUUGGUGCAGCACUCUUUCUAAUCAGAAUGUUCCAGCACACUGUGGACAGAUCCAACUCAAUCAGAUCCUUCUUUCUGAGGAGCACGGUGUGAGCCCUCGUGUCUCCCAGGCUUCCAGGUGCUAAGGCCCUGUGCUGCCCCACAACCCAUGGGUCUUCGUAAUAAACCCCCCAUGACCAAAGAUCAUCUGGGUCUCAACUCAGUGCCCCUUCCUCAAAGAACGCUCCCUGACCACACUGGCUAUGACACCUUUCCUGGUCACCAACAGAUCACUUUCACUCCUCACCCCCCGCUAUCUGAAAUUCUCCUGUUGAUCUGUUUGCUCGUGCACUGCGUGUCUUCCCUCCCGAGAGCAGAGAUCUGGCCUUCCUCGUGCUUCAUCAAACCUGAAGUGCCCCGCAACGGUAUCUGACACACAGCAAAUGCCCAAGGAAUGAACCUCAAGGAGUCUGGAGCCUCAGUCUCCCCGGCGAGACCUUUCAGAGCCACCUGCCCCAGCAACAUGCCUGCAAGGAAGCAGGAACCAGCGCAGCGGGUACAUGCGGGCCUGCAUCAUGUCCACCGGCACCGUGAACUGCUCGUCCAGGUGGAAAGUGUCCCUCUGGGUGAGAUUCGGGUCGAACUUGCUCCUCCAGAAGCCUGCAUCCAGCAGAGGGGAGGGUCUAUAUAGACUGAGACCAAGGUAGGGUCUACUCCACCGGCCUCUUCCCCACCCCACCCAGAACCCACUCAAGGGAUGAAGGGUGGAGGCUGAGACGCCCGAAGGUGCUGCACUGGUUGAUACCCAGCUGAUCUGAGGUCUCGUCCCUGGAGCGAUUGCAGAACCUGGGCUUGCAUUCUCCCCUGCCCUCCCCUGCUCCCAGGAACCUCCCCCUGGAUUUUUAGACUCAGAUUCCUCUUAGGGAACUCCCUCCACAGCAGCCCCAUCCAGUUCCUGGACGGCCUCUGCACCACAUGGUUCCCUGUCUCCUUCCCUCCCCUUGGCCCCUGGCCCAGCCCUGGGGAAGAAGGGCUGCAAGGCCCUUCAGAGCAAGGCGGGCACGGCCCAGCUCCGUCUCCUGGGCAGGGGUGAGGGCUGCGGGCAGAAUCCCAGAAGGGGAGGGGCGCACCCUGGAAGUGGAUGGCAUUGAGGAGAAGCAGCACUGUGUCCUCCGGCAGGUCUGAGAGGAAAUCCUCAAUCUUGCCCUCCGUGGCCUCCUUCACCCACUGGUUGAUGUUCGCCAGGUCAUCCCCCUUCCUUCCGGUCAGGCUCAUGGGCUUUGCACCAAAGAGCUCUUCUGAUUGUUCCAGGAAGUCUUCUUUGAUGGGAAAUCCUACACAGAAGGGCCCACAGGCUGUUGCCAGGACUUGGGCUCCAGAGCCACCAGUGCUGUGACUGGCUGCCCGAGGUCAUGCCUGGCUCCCUCACCCCUGUCCACCCCAGAGCACCACGGGAACGUCCUGCCCCCAGCACCUACCUUUCUGCAGGUACAUUCUGGCAGCCAGUCGGAAAGCCCCAGGGCCCAGAUCCUGGCAGAGGCGGCUGAGCAGGCCCCCCCACUCUUCUCCAGCCCCACCUGCUUGUACCUGGUUGCCCAACUCGAGGAUGGAAAGAGGGGACAGCUUCUCCUGGCCCUGCCCGAUCAUCAGCUGAAGAAAGGAGGGAGCGGAUGAAGAGCAACCCACAGGACCCGCCCCACCCCGCACAAGCCACAGACCUCGGCCCAGGCUCACCACGUGCAGGCAGAACAAGCUGAGCACCAGGAGCCCCGAGAGCAGUGC